GCCUUCUUGGCUCAGUUGGCAGAGCGUGUGCCUAGUAAGCACAAGGUCAUCAGUUCGAUUCUGGUAGAAGGCA